rnacentral:rRNA from 1 species
UACGUAGGGUGCAAGCGUUGUCCGGAAUUAUUGGGCGUAAAGAGCUCGUAGGCGGUCUGUUGCGUCGGCUGUGAAAACCCGGGGCUCAACCCCGGGCCUGCAGCCGAUACGGUCAGACUAGAGUUCGGCAGGGGAGACUGGAAUUCCUGGUGUAGCGGUGAAAUGCGCAGAUAUCAGGAGGAACACCGAUGGCGAAGGCAGGUCUCUGGGCCACUACUGACGCUGAGAAGCGAAAGCAUGGGGAGCGAACAGG